rnacentral:rRNA from 1 species
UUAACUUAUUGUUUAAUUUAACUUAUUAUAAAUUUAUAACAGAAAUGGAGUUGUCUAAGUAUCAAAAGAUCUUUAUCCUUUUUGCAUAACGGAUUAACUAGAAUUAUCUAAGUUUUAGAGUUCCCGAAAGUAGAAGAUCUAACUUUUUUCUUGUUUUAGAAAAUAACUAAUUAUGUCGAAUUAUAAUUAUAAGAUGAAAUGUUAGGGGCGAAAAACCUACAAUUCUACUAAUAUCUGGAUUUGAAGUAAAAGUAUUUAGUACUUAGAACAAGUAUGGAGCUUUGAGGCUCUAUACAUGAAGGAUUUUUAGUUUUUUAGUCUAAAUUAGAAUUAAUAGUUCUCGUUUAAAUUGAAAACCAUAAUUUAUUUUAUAUUUAAUCUUUUUUAUGCUUCAUAUAUGAUUUUAAUUAUUUAGUUGUUUUAAAAUGUUAAUAUUAGUAAUAACUUUUAAUGUCUAGAAAAUAUAAGUAAAGGAACUCGGCAAAUUUUAACUUUAACUGUUUACCAAAAACAUAGCUUUAAGUUUUAUUUAAAGUGAGACCUGCCCAGUGCUAAUUAGUAAACGGCCGCAGUACCUUGACUGUGCUAAGGUAGCAUAAUCAGUUGGCUUUUAAAUGGAGUCGGGAAUGAAUGGAUUAAUAGGGUUAAGCUGUCUCUACUAUAUUAAAUUGAACUUACUUAUUAGGUGAAAAUGCCUAAGUUGUAAAAGAAAAAAGACGAGAAGACCCUAGGAGUUUUAACUAGAUGCUAUUUAUUAUAGUUAAUGUUUUUGUUGGGGCGACAUUGGAACAAUUUUAUUUAACUUCCUUUAUGUUUAUAGGCCGACUUUGUAUGUAAAUCUAAACUACCCUAGGGAUAACAGCGUAAUUCUUUUUGAGCUUGCGACCUCGAUGUUGGACUAGGAAUUUGGUGGGCUAGCCGCCUAUUUAUAUUGUUCUGUUCGAACUGUUUUUCCU